CAGCUCUGUACGAAAGCUCUGUAGGAGUAACAAAAGCACACGGGCUCUUGUCAACUUCCACCCUGAACUUCAGCUCAAGCAGCACCGUUGCAAUGUUCCUGUUUCAAGCUGGAUCCCUUCCUGAAGAUAAAGUCAAAGUGUUUCUGCGACGCUCCGUAAAAGACAAAUAAAUAGCGGGGGGGGGAAAAGGAGAUCUUUAGCAGCACAGCAUGCAGGGCUAAAUCUAACCUUCUGGGGUGUCUUUUUUUCUCGUGCGAUUCCAAUGAAAGCAGCAGAAACAUACACAGCCUCAUACCAGGACAUGCUAUUUGUUUUCCUUCAGGCGCUCGAUAUUUGCGCUGCUUUACAGUAUGCGAGGCGUGACAGAAAAUACAUCGGAUUUUAUUUCUCCAAUGGGAAGCUCUGCGUUUUUUGCAUAUGGAGCUCAUCACAGACAAAUGACUUGUUAAUGCCAGGUUACUUCAGCUGGAAAGCUGUUUUCAAGCGCCAGGCCAAGCUAUUGAAGAAACACAUGUAAUGAAACACCAGCCAUGAAGCCCCAAUACUCCCCACUCCUGUGAUUCUGCUGCACUCCCCAUAACAAAGAACUCAAUCUUUAAAGAGCUUUUACUUGUGGAGCGAAGCAAAGCUUCCAUCUAGGGCCUGACCAAAUCAUUAUUGCACAGAUAAGGAUCAGAACUGAGGCAGAUGUCUGCUGGCUUUACAAUAUGUGCAUGGAGAUGACCUGCAAGGCCCCUGCCAGCGUACAGUGCUGAGGCGUCUCAGUUUGCUUUCUCUCAGACAUGUUGAAGCUAGCUGGAAUCCACUGGGGUUGCAUUGCAGCUAGGUGGUCUUGAUUUUGCCUCAGGAGGCUAAUGUGCGUGCCAAAUGGCAUCUUAUUCCUAUAUAGAGUGCUACAGGACUUUUGAGCAGAGCCCUAUGGGCCCUGGUCGGAAGUAGUGCACUAUAUAUGGAAUAGGGUGUCAUUUGAGACACUAUCUGUGGUGGUCAACUGAGUCACAUUGUUCUUGGGACUGGAAGUGGAGUGUUAUGUUUUUCCCCAUUGAUGCCCAGAGCAGCUGUCUCAAUGAAACACUUUCAGUACAGUUGAUUUGUUAAGAAGGAAACAUUAGGAGGGGGAGUGUGUUUGCACAGGAAUAUGGUUAUUAGAAGUAUUGGUGUUGGUGGGGAAGUACAGAGAAAGUAAAAACACUGAGCAUGUGUCCAGCUGCUUCCUGGUAACGUUCACCACUGACCACACCUGGGUUCAAAUACUAUUUGAUAUCAUUUCAAAUACUUUAGCAGGGCUUGAUUGAGCUUGCCUGGCACUAUGGAACCAUUAGAAUAGUCGCAAAAGUUUCCCAACGGGGACCCUAGGCAGGCUAGAGGAAAUGUUCAAAGUAUUUCAAUGAUUCCAAGUAGUAUUUGAACUCAGGUCUUCCUAUUCAAGAAGGUGUGGAGGUUAUCUUUAGAGCUAAUUCUUUGUAGGGGUAAUAUGAUACUCUGUUGACAGAUAUGAGUCAGUGUGACCUGCUGUGAAUACAAAGCGCCCAAGAGGUGCAUUUUCUCUCUAUA